GAUGAAGAACGUAGCGAAAUGCGAUAAGUAAUGUGAAUUGCAGAAUUCAGUGAAUCAUCGAAUCUUUGAACGCACAUUGCGCCCGCCAGUAUUCUGGCGGGCAUGCCUGUCCGAGCGUCAUUUCAACCCCCGAACCCCUCCGGGGGGUCGGCGUUGGGGAUCGGCCCUGCCUCUUGGCGGUGGCCGUCUCCGAAAUACAGUGGCGGUCUCGCCGCAGCCUCUCCUGCGCAGUAGUUUGCACACUCGCAUCGGGAGCGCGGCGCGUCCACAGCCGUUAAACACCCAACUUCUGAAAUGUUGACCUCGGAUCAGGUAGGAAUACCCGCUGAACUUAAGCAUAUCAAUAAGCGGAGGA
rnacentral:misc_RNA from 1 species